UUGGCUCCACGGAAAAGUUCAGAACUAAAAAUCUUGGAUUGCUGACAGGACAUGUGACGGAGCAGCCCCGGCUGAGGAGCCGUCCAGCACCUUUCAUGUCUCACUCCAGACCCCCCCAACUCUUCGUCAUUUGUGGUUUGCAGCGCUGAGAUGACAUCAGUGACUUCUGGGCUGUCCCCCUGACAGAAAAAUCAGAGGCCAUUUGAGCAAGCUUGUCACACACCCUGCCUGAA